UAAUCAACGAAUUCCAAAAUCAUUUUUCACAAUUGAAUAACGGUCACAAAAAAACUCUUUUAAUUAUUAAGAGCAUAAUAUUCAUAUUCUGGUAGUCUUAAAUAUUGGUUGUGAGAUGUUUCUUUUUAUGCAUAUAUUUAACUUUUGCUCAUUUUAAAAAAAAGUUCAAAAACUGAUGGACAAAGUAAAAUAAAUUUUAAGUAUCUUCGCAUUUGCUAUAUUUUUUCCUAAAAACACACACACAAAUAAUUUUCAAAUCAUUAAAACAUAUUAUUGUACAACGGCGCGUAGCGCCGGCAACCCCCUAGUUAGUAUAAAAACUCACCCAUACGCACAUGAUAUCGGGGGUGAUUGGUUGGGAUGUAGAAAGUGACUUUAGCUUUAAUUUCCAUCUACAACCUUAAAUAUUACCAAUCAUGUUUUAUCUUGGUUUUUAAAGCUACAACCAAAAAAUUAAAGCUACAGCAAAAACACAUAAAAAAUGGUUGUAAACAUCUUAUUUUCUAAAGCCUCAUUUUUUUAGCUGUAGGAAAUUUUAAAGCUACAUCACUUAAUGCUAAAUUAAAAAUCCUACAGACAAAAUGCUAAAGUAAAUUUUUUAUAGUUACAACCCAACCAAUCACCCCCA
rnacentral:lncRNA from 1 species